rnacentral:rRNA from 1 species
AGAGUUUGAUCCUGGCUCAGAACGAACGCUGGCGGCGCGUCUUAAGCAUGCAAGUCGAACGGCAAGAGAGGAGCUUGCUUCUCUCCUAGAGUGGCGGACUGGUGAGGAACACGUGGGUAAUCUACCCUUAAGUUGGGGAUAGCUGCUAGAAAUAGCAGAUAAUACCGAAUACACUCGGUCUUUCAUAAGAGAGAUUGAGGAAAGAGGCUACGGCCUCGCUUGAGGAUGAGCUUGCGUCCCAUUAGCUAGUUGGUGAGGUAAAGGCCCACCAAGGCGACGAUGGGUAUCCGGCCUGAGAGGGUGAACGGACACAUUGGGACUGAGAUACGGCCCAAACUCCUACGGGAGGCAGCAGCUAAGAAUAUUCCGCAAUGGACGAAAGUCUGACGGAGCGACGCCGCGUGGAUGAAGAAGGCUGAAAAGUUGUAAAAUCCUUUUGUUGAUGAAGAAUAAGGGUAGGAGGGAAUGCCUAUCUGAUGACGGUAAUCGGCGAAUAAGCCCCGGCUAAUUACGUGCCAGCAGCCGCGGUAACACGUAAGGGGCGAGCGUUGUUCGGAAUUAUUGGGCGUAAAGGGCAUGUAGGCGGUUAUGUAAGCCUGAUGUGAAAUCCUGGGGCUUAACCCUAGAAUAGCAUUGGGUACUGUAUAACUUGAAUUACGGAAGGGAAACUGGAAUUCCAAGUGUAGGGGUGGAAUCUGUAGAUAUUUGGAAGAACACCGGUGGCGAAGGCGGGUUUCUGGCCGAUGAUUGACGCUGAUAUACGAAGGUGCGGGGAGCAAACAGGAUUAGAUACCCUGGUAGUCCGCACAGUAAACGAUGUACACUAGGUGUUGGGGCAAGAGCUUCAGUGCCUAAGCAAACGCAAUAAGUGUACCGCCUGGGAAGUAUGCCCGCAAGGGUGAAAC